CUUUCUAUAACCACGUGAACUUCUCUUCUUCCAUUUCUCCUUUCUCUGCUCCCCUUUCUCAUUUAGUUCAUCUUCUCAAAUAUGAGAGAGGUGUUCUCCUCUUCGAUCUCACCUUCUCUUUCACGCUAUUGAAUAAAUUUCGAUUUCGAUUUCGAUUUCGAUUUGAUUUAAGAUUUUCGAUUUAAUUUAUAAUUUUCGGUUUUUUGGGGUUUUGAUGUUUCAGAUGAGGUUACAAUUCCGAUCAUAUGAUCCUAUCCAACCUAUCUCAUUCGUUCUACUACAAAGGAAUUUCAGGUAUUUUCUUCUUAUCUUCCCUCAAUUUAUGAUUGUUAAGAUUUUUUCUAGGUCUAAGUACUUCGGUUUAUAAUUUCUAUGUCGGUAAUAUCCGGAGUAGUUGUUGUUGCAGUAGUGAUGGUAAGGACAGUUGAUUGGGUCAAUAGUUUCUUUUAGCUGCCAUUUAUUGCAUUUGAAGAAGGUCCCUUCGAUUUCCCCCUCUUGUAUCGUAGAAAGAAAGGCUGAGUUUCUAGAGAGGAGUAAUACAUUUUCUUUUUGUAUUUUGCAUAUUAGAGAGCAUUAAUCUUCUUACUUGUAAGUUUGAUUUAUAUGAAUUUUUCUUUGGUUUUGAGUUUUAACUCUGGAAGGGAAAGGUGGGCCUUCCUUCAAAUGGUUGAGCAGGAGGUUUUGAUGUUCAAAAAUUAGGAAAUUGGGACAGUAGAAAGAUAAGGGUCAAAUGAUUGAUAUUUGGGGUCAGUUAUGCUUCAAGGACGAUGGAAUUCAGAUAUAUCUUUUCUUAUUGGCGGAUUUCACCAGGAAGUCUUGAAGUGAAAGGUCAAUUGAUGUUAUCAUGCUUCUGUUAUGAUAUUAUAGGUUUUGUUAUCGUCACUUUGUUUAUAUUUAUAUCAGUUUUCUGAUAUGGGGUCUGUUUUUGAGGUCUUGAAGUUUGAAUAUUGUUUACCAUAUCAUAAAAACCACAAGAUAUGUCUGGGAUUUCUAAUCUGGACUUUAUAUAGUGAUAUCAUAUGAAAUCUUGACCUUUCUAUAGUCACAUGCUUUGUAGUUUUCGAUCAAUAACAAAGGGCAUAUUAUUAUAGAGGAAUUGUAGGUUUGGUAUGCAAGAUAUGCGUGUUUGGUGGGGUUGUAUAUCGUUCAUGUAAGAAGGUAAUGAAGUUAGUGGUUUUUAGGCAAUAGUUUAUCUGAUGAAAAUAUGAUUGGUUGUCCUUCGUUAUUGAUCCAAAAUUAGUGGUUUUUAGGCAGUAGGCAAGGUAUUACGUUUAUGGUUAACCAACUGGUGUAAUCAUGUAUUCCCGUUUCAAUUAUUGUAUUAUGAAUAUGAAUAUAACUAAGAGAUAGCUUGAGAGUUAGAGAAAAGAAGAGGUAAUAGAAAUAAAAGGAUGGUUUUGAAAUAUUGUUUGACGUAGUAACUUGAUUGUGAAUGCGUUUAUUUAGAACCUACGGGCUAAGGAUCUGAUGGUGUUGAACUUUGGUUAAAGGAAAUAUUAAUGUCACUUGAGUGUCCCUUUACGUAUUUUUGAAUAUGCAGUUGUAGUGAGAAUCAUUUAUUAUAUAAUUGUACUCGCUUUUGUGGUGGUAGAUUUGAAUUAGGUGUAGAAAUAUGGGUGAUAGUGAUAUUUUGGCGUCGGUUCGCUCUGUGGUGUUCAAGGAGUCAGAAACCCUAGAAGGGAAAUGCAUUAAGACUGAGAGUUAUACCCAGCUUUUUAAAUCGUUUGUCUCCACCGGUUUCCAAGCAUCGAAUCUCGGAGAAGCUAUUGAUGUUGUUAAUGAAAUGAUUGACGACUGGAAAAUGAGAUAGCAACUGAAGAUUGCAGCGAGGAAGAGAGGGAUCCUGGUUUUAGGGAGUCUGUGAGGUGUAAAAUAUUCUUAGGUUUUACGUCCAAUCUUAUCUCUUCCGGUGCCGUGACACUGUAUGAUAUCUUGUUCAGCAUCAUAUGGUGAGAUAAGCUUCAAAGUUUUUCUAAUAUGCUUUGUUUUUUCCCCCCUCUCAUUUGAACAUGAUUUGGGACUAAGGUUUUGUUGUUGUUGUUGUGUUCUCAUUUGAACAUGAAAAGGAUGUGGACUUAGCUGUUCCAGACUUCCAAUUAUAUCUUUCAGUCGAUUGACUGCUUAAAAUUUUCUUCGGUACUCUUGUAGUCUUGUUUAGGGAAUAUAUGUAUAAGAUUGAAGUAAAACAAUAGAGUGGCAAAUAACAUGCGUGCACAUAGAUUGUA